rnacentral:rRNA from 1 species
UAGGGGAGCCGGAGGGAAACCGAGUCUUAAUUGGGCGUUAAGUUGCAGGGUAUAGACCCGAAACCCGGUGAUCUAGCCAUGGGCAGGUUGAAGGUUGGGUAACACUAACUGGAGGACCGAACCGACUAAUGUUGAAAAAUUAGCGGAUGACCUGUGGCUGGGGGUGAAAGGCCAAUCAAACCGGGAGAUAGCUGGUUCUCCCCGAAAGCUAUUUAGGUAGCGCCUCGUGAAUUCAUCUCCGGGGGUAGAGCACUGUUUCGGCUAGGGGGCCAUCCCGGCUUACCAACCCGAUGCAAACUGCGAAUACCGGAGAAUGUUAUCACGGGAGACACACGGCGGGUGCUAACGUCCGUCGUGAAGAGGGAAACAACCCAGACCGCCAGCUAAGGUCCCAAAGUCAUGGUUAAGUGGGAAACGAUGUGGGAAGGCCCAGACAGCCAGGAUGUUGGCUUAGAAGCAGCCAUCAUUUAAAGAAAGCGUAAUAGCUCACUGGUCGAGUCGGCCUGCGCGGAAGAUGUAACGGGGCUAAACCAUGCACCGAAGCU